rnacentral:rRNA from 1 species
AUGCAAGAAGAGCUGGAUUCCUUGCAUAAGAAUCAUACUUAUGAGUUGGUGAAGUUGCCCAAGGGCAAGAAAAUUUUGAAGAACAAGUGGGUCUACAGAAUCAAGCAAGAAGAGCACACAUCACAUCCAAGGUACAAGGCCAGGCUAGUUGUAAAAGGAUUCGGCCAGAGAAAAGGCAUUGACUAUGAUGAGAUCUUUUCUCCAGUUGUGAAGAUGACAUCCAUAAGAGUAAUCCUUGGCAUGGCAGCAAGUCUCAACUUGAAGGUUGAGCAAAUGGAUGUGAAGACUGCAUUCCUUCAUGGUGAGUUGGAGGAAGAAAUAUACAUGGAGCAACCUGAGGGGUUUCUUGUGAAAGGCAAAGAAGACUAUGUGUGCAAGCUGAAGAAAAGUCUCUAUGACCUGAAACAAGCACCAAGACAAUGGUACAUGAAGUUUGAAACUGUCAUGGGGGAGCAAGGAUACAAGAAGUGUAGCUCAGACCAUUGUGUGUUUAUUCAGAGGUUCUUAGGUGAUGAUUUCAUCAUAUUAUUGCUCUAUGUUGAUGAUAUUCUGAUUGUUGCCAAGAAUGUCUCUAGGAUUGCUAAGUUGAAGAAGGAGUUGAGCAAAUGUUUUGCCAUGAAAGACUUAGGUCCAGCAAAGAACAUUCUCAGAAUGAGAAUUGAGAGAGACCAAAAUUGCAACAAGUUGUACUUGUCUCAAGAGAAGUAUAUUGAGAAGGUACUUCAGAAGUUCAGGAUGGAAAAUGCUAAAGUUGUGAGUUGUCCACUAGCAGCCCAUUUCAAGUUGAGCAGAAAGCAAUGUCCUACCACUGAUGAGCAGAAAAAGGAAAUGCAUCAUGUUCCUUAUGCUUCAGCAGCUGGUAGUUUGAUGUAUGAUAUGGUGUGUACAAGGCCUGACAUUGCUCAUACAGUUAGUACUGUGAGCAGAUUUAUGUCUUAUCUAGGAAGACCUCAUUGGGAAGCCGUGAAGUGGAUUUUGAGAUAUCUUCUGGGCAGCACAAAUCUGAAAAUUUGCUUCGGUGACGGUGAGGCCAAGCCGAUUGAUUUUUCAGAUUCUGACAUGGCUGGAGAUGUUGACAGAAGGAAGUCUACUUCAGGUUACUUGGUUACCUAUGCAGGGGGGCCGUGUCAUGGCAAAGCAGGCUACAAAAGUGUGUGGCACUGA